rnacentral:sRNA from 1 species
UUUCUGUUCAAUUCAACUAGUUCACCGAUAAGUUAGUCGAUUAGUAACGCUCAGUUUGAGGGACUUCGACUAAAAUGCUGAAAUUCUGUGUAGCAUUAUAGAAUUAAAAUCUGACUGCGAACAGAGCGUCGUAUGAAUGAAAGUCCAAGAAGAAACCGCCAAAAAGCAGUGUGUGGUUCGGCCCGUCUUGCGUGCUAAGCGUAGACUAUACUAAUCUACCGAAAAGGAUAACACGAAGAAACUCAAGAUGUCCAAAAGAUGUUGGGAGUUCCUCCCAAAGACUAAAGAAAAUUUUGCUUUUUUCAUUUUGAUUUUUGUGCCUUGCUACUGGCAACAUUGAUAGCAUGCAAAGUAAAUAUCGAUACUAUCGGUAGCCCAGCACCUCAAUUGUGUGCAGCUUUCUAGA